GAUGAACGCUGGCGGCGUGCCUAAUACAUGCAAGUCGAGCGAACAGACGAGGAGCUUGCUCCUCUGACGUUAGCGGCGGACGGGUGAGUAACACGUGGAUAACCUACCUAUAAGACUGGGAUAACUUCGGGAAACCGGAGCUAAUACCGGAUAAUAUAUUGAACCGCAUGGUUCAAUAGUGAAAGACGGUUUUGCUGUCACUUAUAGAUGGAUCCGCGCCGCAUUAGCUAGUUGGUAAGGUAACGGCUUACCAAGGCAACGAUGCGUAGCCGACCUGAGAGGCUGAUCGGCCACACUGGAACUGAGCCACGCUCCAGACUCCUACGGGAGGCAGCAGUAGGGAAUCUUCCGCAAAGGGCGAAAGCCUGACGGAGCAACGCCGCGUGAGUGAUGAAGGUCUUCGGAUCGUAAAACUCUGUUAUUAGGGAAGAACAAAUGUGUAAGUAACUAUGCACGUCUUGACGGUACCUAAUCAGAAAGCCACGGCUAACUACGUG
rnacentral:rRNA from 1 species